rnacentral:rRNA from 1 species
GUUGUGAGGUUAAGCGACUAAGCGUACACGGUGGAUGCCCUGGCAGUCAGAGGCGAUGAAGGACGUGCUAAUCUGCGAUAAGCGUCGGUAAGGUGAUAUGAACCGUUAUAACCGGCGAUUUCCGAAUGGGGAAACCCAGUGUGUUUCGACACACUAUCAUUAACUGAAUCCAUAGGUUAAUGAGGCGAACCGGGGGAACUGAAACAUCUAAGUACCCCGAGGAAAAGAAAUCAACCGAGAUUCCCCCAGUAGCGGCGAGCGAACGGGGAGCAGCCCAGAGCCUGAAUCAGUGUGUGUGUUAGUGGAAGCGUCUGGAAAGGCGCGCGAUACAGGGUGACAGCCCCGUACACAAAAAUGCACAUGCUGUGAGCUCGAUGAGUAGGGCGGGACACGUGGUAUCCUGUCUGAAUAUGGGGGGACCAUCCUCCAAGGCUAAAUACUCCUGACUGACCGAUAGUGAACCAGUACCGUGAGGGAAAGGCGAAAAGAACCCCGGCGAGGGGAGUGAAAAAGAACCUGAAACCGUGUACGUACAAGCAGUGGGAGCACGCUUAGGCGUGUGACUGCGUACCUUUUGUAUAAUGGGUCAGCGACUUAUAUUCUGUAGCAAGGUUAACCGAAUAGGGGAGCCGAAGGGAAACCGAGUCUUAACUGGGCGUUAAGUUGCAGGGUAUAGACCCGAAACCCGGUGAUCUAGCCAUGGGCAGGUUGAAGGUUGGGUAACACUAACUGGAGGACCGAACCGACUAAUGUUGAAAAAUUAGCGGAUGACUUGUGGCUGGGGGUGAAAGGCCAAUCAAACCGGGAGAUAGCUGGUUCUCCCCGAAAGCUAUUUAGGUAGCGCCUCGUGAAUUCAUCUCCGGGGGUAGAGCACUGUUUCGGCAAGGGGGUCAUCCCGACUUACCAACCCGAUGCAAACUGCGAAUACCGGAGAAUGUUACCACGGGAGACACACGGCGGGUGCUAACGUCCGUCGUGAAGAGGGAAACAACCCAGACCGCCAGCUAAGGUCCCAAAGUCAUGGUUAAGUGGGAAACGAUGUGGGAAGGCCCAGACAGCCAGGAUGUUGGCUUAGAAGCAGCCAUCAUUUAAAGAAAGCGUAAUAGCUCACUGGUCGAGUCGGCCUGCGCGGAAGAUGUAACGGGGCUAAACCAUGCACCGAAGCUGCGGCAGCGACGCUUAUGCGUUGUUGGGUAGGGGAGCGUUCUGUAAGCCUGUGAAGGUGUGCUGUGAGGCAUGCUGGAGGUAUCAGAAGUGCGAAUGCUGACAUAAGUAACGAUAAAGCGGGUGAAAAGCCCGCUCGCCGGAAGACCAAGGGUUCCUGUCCAACGUUAAUCGGGGCAGGGUGAGUCGACCCCUAAGGCGAGGCCGAAAGGCGUAGUCGAUGGGAAACAGGUUAAUAUUCCUGUACUUGGUGUUACUGCGAAGGG